GGAGCUACAGCUCAGUGGGCAAAGUGCUUGCCUCACAUGCAAGGCCUUGGGUUCAAUCCCAGUGCCA
rnacentral:tRNA from 1 species